rnacentral:lncRNA from 1 species
GAUUUGAUUAAAAUUAAGUCUGGACUGUGGAGAUCAGCAGGGACAAAGACUACAUGUAUAUGAGGCCAUCAUUAACUUCUGAGGUUAUGUUUACAAGUUAAAUUCUAAAAAGUAAGCCCGAUCUGGGUUGAUCGGCGAGAAAAGUGUAGCAUCUUGUCUGUUUCAAGAGAAGUAUUUCCAGAUUCCAUAUCAACUCAAAGGGAAGAAUAAAUGCUUGGGUGUAAUCUCAGCCUGAGAAAGCUUAGUUCGAUUUUGGCGAUCGGCGAGGAUAAUGUGACGUUGCAGAGUUGUGUCAAGAGCUUUCAGUUGUUAAAUAAAAGACAAUCUUCCCCCAUCAAGAGGGACUCCUGGAUUUGAUUACAAUUAAGUCUGGAGAUCAGCACUAGGUAACAUGUCAAAAGCAAUAGGUAACUUUCAUCUGAAAAGGAAGUCCAAUCUGGGUCGAUCAGAAAAAAUAAUAUAGCAUUACAUCAUCUUUAACUUCCAUAGUACUAGUGUCCAUGUGUUAAAGUUUGGAAAGUAAGUCCGAAUUGGGUUGAUUUGUGAGAAAGCUGAAAUAUUAGGCCAACUUCAAGAGUAUUAGUCGCAGAUUUUGUUAACUGAAUUUUGAAGAGUAAGCCCGACCAUGGCGGAUCUGCUUGAGAAUGUAAAACACAUCAUUUUCAAGAGUAAUUGAAAGGUAGUCCGAUCUCAGUCAAUCGGUGAGAAGAGUGUAGCAUCUCGUCAAUAUCAAGAGAAUUAUACUUUCAGAUUCCAUACCAACUUGGCAGUGGCAAUGGCAAAUUGGCAGGAGGACAUAAAACACGUCAUUUUCAAGAGUAGAUUCAAGUGACUUAAGCUUGGAAAGUAAGUCUGAUCUCAGUCGAUUAGUGAGAAGAGUGUAGCAUCUUGUCAAUUUCAAGAGAAAUGUUACAUAUCAACUUAAAGGGAAUAAUUUAUGUUUACCGAUCUGGGUCUAUCGGCGCGGACAACACGACAGUUCAGAGUAGUGUUUACAGUUUGUUACAUUUUUUAAAAGCAAGCCACUCCACCCCAAUCAGCAGGGCCCUUUGCUUUAUUGAAAUUAAAUAUGAUCUGGAUCGAUCAACAUAGACAAUGUGACACUUCAAGAGCAUUUUUGUGAAUUUAGGUAACUUGAAAUCUAAAAGUAAGUCUGAUCUGGGUCGAUGUACAAAGACAAUAAGGCAUUAUGUCAUCUUCAACUUCAAGAGUAAUGUCUUUAUAUUGAAUUUUGAAAAGUAAAUCAAAUCUGGGCUGACCGCCAAGAAAAAUGUAGCAUCAUGUCAACUUUAAGACUUAUAUUCGUAGAUUUCAUUUACUUUAACUUGUACUCGCCUCUUUGAAGUUGCCAUUUCAAAAUCCAAAUUUCAGUCAUCGCUGCAGGGACGCUUAAUAGCUUUGAUUUAAAAUUGAGACCGACCUUGAUCGAUCAGCAAGACAGUGCAGCAUAAAGUCAACUUCAAAAUUAAUGUCCACAGAUUUAAUGUAAGUUACAAAAAAUAAGCCCAAUCUAAGUCAAUCAGCAAGGGCAGUCACACAGUAUCACGUCAAUGUCAUUAGUUGUUGUAUAGUUUUACUUGCAUUUAUAAAGGUAAAUGUUUAGAGAAUGCUAAAUUUUAGGCUACUUUGCCUCAGAAAAUACAGUGGCUAACUUAGCCUUUGAAAAUAAUUGGGUGGCUACUUCGCCUUAGAAAGUAAAUAAAAAAAAUUGAAGUCUCUCUCUCUGUGUUUUUCUUUAUGCAGCUUUCUUCUUUCCCAAACUAAAGUAAACAAAUUUUUAUAUCAAGAGGAAAAUAAAUAGACCACCUUGGUAACAAAUAAAAUAAGAUAUGAAACAAAAUGCCUCCGCUGUAGCUCACCAGAAAAUAUUAGCUGUAUGCUACUGCCAUACAACCCAAUUCAGCACGACGACAAACGCGAAGGAUAAAAAUUAACAACCGGAAUCACCCAGAAGGAAGCACAGGCGGCGGAGUAGUGAAACGACCGCUGUGAUCAUCAGCAAUGCAGGAAAGAAUGAAAAAGAGACAUAUGGCAAUGGGGGGGCUAUUUAAAGAGAAAUGGGAUGCGCCUCAUCACCACUCGCGUUACGUAAUAAACGAAAAAGGCAAUGAAAGAAAUUCGACUCGGGGCUACUACAAAUGCAAUCCAAACCGAUCAGCAAGGACACUUAAACAAGUCUUGGAUCCUUACCUUGAAUUUAAACAGUUGGACCAAUAUGGGUCAUCUGGCAGAUGGUAAGUUGAAUUGCCAUGGAGUCAUUUUUCAAAUUGUUAUUGACCAUGCUAGUCUGAUCUUUCACCCUCCACAGAUCCUGUUAUUUUUCUGAUUUUUUGUGAGUUUUUAGGCUCAAUAUUGAGCAGCUGGGGGCAUGGGGGCAUGCAAAAUGGCAAUGGUUCCCCCCCCCCCGUUCUGUCACUGGUGAUCAUCCUAACUUCUAGGUAAGCUUAAAUCAAUAAAAUGGGAAUAAUGUUUACUCUAAUGAGUGACCUAGCUUGGCUAGGCCCAGUAUUUUUAUAUCCCCAUUCACUAAGCUAAGCCAUCAGACUGCAACUUGGAGCAAACAUGCAGCUAAAAGGAUGAGGGUGUACAAGCCCAGUGGAGGCUGAUUGGACAAGGAAGAGACUGCUUCCCAAGGGUGAAGAUGGACCUUAAGAUCACGCAGAUGAAACUGGAGCCAGAGACUGUUUCACUAGAACCAGCGUGGAUCCCUGGGCUGUUUCUGAUGAAUCCAAGGAACUGGAAGUAGGGAGGAGGACCAACGGUUGAGCUGAUGAUCUAUUUGCUGUGCUUGCCAUUUUUUUUUCCAGAUGAGGACUGCAAACCUGGACAAGGUUGGCUGGAUGAAGAAGAGGCUACUCUCUUUGCUUGAUGAAAUGACAUCCCUACCCUUCAAAUGAACCAGUAGCAUGUAGGACCUACAGAUGAACUGAUGACCCUGCUUGCUGUACUUGUCAGUGCUUAUUUUGCAAAGGAUACCUCCUUGUUUUGGAUGUUUCAAAAGCUGCAGACUAUGGAACCUGGAUGGAUUUGCAUGGACAGAGAGGCUGCACCCUCCAGAGAAGGAUCACCCUGGCCAAUGAGGAAGGAGCCUCACCUGCAGAUGACCGAUGACUGCCUUCCCCAAUGCUGAUUGUUGUGGAAGUACACUGUCGGCACAUGCAUCCAGACUCGAGUCACCCAAGUCCUCUCCUGAUGUGUCAAGUCUGAGCCACAUAUUGCAACUCAAGAUGGAGUCUGAGUCCUGGAAUUGAGUCAUAUGAAACUGUGGGCAUCAACUAGCAGACUGGAGAAGUAAAUAUCAGCCCUAAAGGUUCAGAUUCUAUGCAGAUUUGCUCUGAGCAAUUAACCAGGAUUACUGUUGGCAGCAUUUUAAUUACAAAUUUAUCAGUGAAAAUUCAGAGUCCGGAGGCCAGAUAUUCUACCAUUUUUUGCAUUAAGUAGAUAGAUCAAAGAGCUCUUUGUUUGACAUUACACUAAGUUCAGCACCCUGAUGAAAAUUUUCAUUAUGUGGGUAAAAAUGGCGGAGGAGUCUUUCUGAUUUACAUUGUGCUGUAUCCUUUCAAAGGUGUUACCUUAAAAGAGGCUCUAGAGACUUGCAACUCAUUUUGUUGAGCAACAUUUUGAAACUGGUUUUGGGUUUAUAAAGGCUAAUUCAUAUUUCAGGCGAACAUCAAAGGGAAACAAAUUUAACAUCACUAAAAUUUGCCAAGAAAUUCUCUUGAGUUGAAAUGUGUGCAGCACAAAUAAUCUCAAAUUAUAAUUUCAAAGUUUGCGUUCGUGUUUGCCUGAAGUAAGAAUCAGGCUUGAUGCUAGUAAAUUAUGUAAAUACUAAAGAGGCCUUUUUCUGUUUGAAGCCUGUAGGUUUAUGUGCAGAUAAUGAUAAAAUAAAUAAGAUUCAACUUUUUCUUUCUGGCAACAAAAAAAGGGAAGGUUUUUGUAAUUUUCACAGGACCGACAACUUCUGAAGAAAUAGUUUAUUUUUUUACAAAUUGCCUAUCAAUUUCAAUCAAUUCUUUUAAAAGCUAUGAUUGAACUUCCUAAUAAACAACAAAUAUAUCGUCGUAUUAGUACUAUAAGGUCAUUAACAAAAUAUUUGCACUGAAAGGUCAUUAAUGAAAUUGUUUUAAAACUUGAAAUACUAGCAAAGUCCUGGUGAAGAUCUGAGAAACAGUCCCCCAAAAUGAUUUUUAUCAAUGAAGUAAUGUGAAACAUUGUCUGUUUCUUUAUAAAAUUAUUUCAUGCUUAGAAUAGGGCCCUAAAAUUAUUUUAAAAUUAUCAGUGCUAUAAGGUUGUUACUGCCAUAAUGGCCUUAUAGCACUGACCCGACGAUAUUUGACUUUUACACACUUUAUGAAGCACGUGUAUCAAAGUUUGAACUAGCUGGUGAAAAAGGUUUGAGUAAAUAAAGACUUAAGUGGCUACCAUUUAUAGAGGGGCUGGAAUCACUUUUCAGUUACAUGCACAUUCAGAGGUGAAGAUUGGUUUUAUUUAAACAAAUCAAGUUAAUAGUCAUGAAUGAAAUUCAAACUAGUUAGAACUUUGUCAAUUUAAAAGGAAGGCUGGAGAGUUCAGCCCCAUUGUGUUUCUUUACACAUAAUAGGAUUCCUUUUGAUUCAGAGAGCACAUCACAAAGUGUGCAGACACUCGAAAUAAUACGCUGUGUUUAUCCUUCUUUUACAUUUGUUUGCAUGCAUUUCUAUAUUUGUUUAAAGUUUUAAUUUUUGGUUGCUUUGAGUUUUAUGAUUGCUGUUGUUUUUAACCUUGUUUUCAAGCAAAAGGAUAAACACAGUUAUUUAGAGUGUUUUUUGAUACCAAAUUUUUUCAGAAAAAAAUGUUUGUAAAGCUUUGAGUGUUGUAUGACAAUUUUUCUAAACAUUCUGUUUUCUAGUGGGGCUAGCUGCUCACCACUGCCUUUCCUUUGACCCCAAUUCAAUUUGUGCCCGGGUCUUCAAUUUCACAAAAAAAAUAUCAUUUCUGGGGUUGUGUCCUCUCCAGGAUGCAGGGCUACCUUUAUAAUCUUUAACAUUUUUCUUAGCAGUAUUAUUCCUCAAGUAACAUCUAAUUUUAAAGAAUGUCAAAUUUCUGUACAUUUCCUAAAAAUCAUAGUAUAACCAGUUUGUCUAAGUACCCUGAAUAUUGGAAUUUUAUUUAUUUGUUCAUAAUCAAAUUUUUCACAAUAAUAGUUUGUAAAAAAUCAGUUACACGUCAUUCUAAGAAUUAA